rnacentral:rRNA from 1 species
UACGUAGGGUGCGAGCGUUGUCCGGAUUUACUGGGCGUAAAGGGCGCGUAGGCGGCUCGGCACGUCCGUUGUGAAAUCGCCCGGCUCAACUGGGCGGGGUCAGCGGAUACGGCCGAGCUGGAGCAAGCUAGGGGGUAAUGGAAUUCCCGGUGUAGUGGUGGAAUGCGUAGAUAUCGGGAGGAACACCAGUGGCGAAGGCGGUUACCUGGAGCUUUGCUGACGCUGAUGCGCGAAAGCGUGGGGAGCGAGUCCGG